GAAGCAUAUCAAUAAGCGGAGGAAAAGAAACCAACAGGGAUUGCCCUAGUAACGGCGAGUGAAGCGGCAACAGCUCAAAUUUGAAAUCUGGCUCUCUUUGGGGGUCCGAGUUGUAAUUUGCAGAGGAUGCUUUGGCAUUGGCGGCGUUCUAAGUUCCUUGGAACAGGACAUCACAGAGGGUGAGAAUCCCGUACGUGGUCGCCUGCCUUUGCCGUGUAAAGCUCCUUCGACGAGUCGAGUUGUUUGGGAAUGCAGCUCUAAAUGGGAGGUAAAUUUCUUCUAAAGCUAAAUACCGGCCAGAGACCGAUAGCGCACAAGUAGAGUGAUCGAAAGAUGAAAAGUACUUUGGAAAGAGAGUCAAAAAGCACGUGAAAUUGUUGAAAGGGAAGCGCUUGCAGCCAGACUUGCCCGCAGUUGCUCACCUAGGCUUUGGCCUGGGGCACUCUUCUGCGGGCAGGCCAGCAUCAGUUUGGGCGGUUGGAUAAAGGCCUCUGUCACGUAUCUCCCUCCGGGGUGACCUUAUAGGGGAGGCGUAAUGCAACCAGCCCGGACUGAGGUCCGCGCAUCUGCUAGGAUGCUGGCGUAAUGGCUGUAAGCGGCCCGUCUUGAAACACGGACCAAGGAGUCUAACAUCUAUGCGAGUGUUUGGGUGUCAAGCCCGGGCGCGCAAUGAAAGUGAACGGAGGUGGGAACCCUUUGGGUGCACCAUCGACCGAUCCUGAUGUCUUCGGAUGGAUUUGAGUAAGAGCAUAGCUGUUGGGACCCGAAAGAUGGUGAACUAUGCUUGAAUAGGGUGAAGCCAGAGGAAACUCUGGUGGAGGCUCGCAGCGGUUCUGACGUGCAAAUCGAUCGUCAAAUUUGGGCAUAGGGGCGAAAGACUAAUCGAACCAUCUAGUAGCUGGUUCCUGCCGAAGU
rnacentral:rRNA from 1 species